rnacentral:rRNA from 1 species
GAUGAACGCUGGCGGCGUGCCUAAUACAUGCAAGUCGAGCGAACAGACGAGGAGCUUGCUCCUCUGACGUUAGCGGCGGACGGGUGAGUAACACGUGGAUAACCUACCUAUAAGACUGGGAUAACUUCGGGAAACCGGAGCUAAUACCGGAGAAUAUAUUGAACCGCAUGGUUCAAUAGUGAAAGACGGUUUUGCUGUCACUUAUAGAUGGAUCUGCGCCGCAUUAGCUAGUUGGUAUGGUAACAGCUUACCAACGCCAUGAUGCGUAGCCGACGUGAGAGGGUGAUCGGCCACGCUGGGAGUGAGACACGGUCCAGACUCCUACGAGAGGCAGCAGUAGGGAAUCUUCCGCAAUGGGCGAAAGCCUGACGGAGCAACGACGCGUGAGUGAUGAAGGUCUUCGGAUCGUAAAACUCUGUUAUUAGGGAAGAACAAAUGUGUAAGUGACUAUGCACGUCUUGACGGUACCUAAACAGAAAGCCACGGCUAACUACGUG